rnacentral:rRNA from 1 species
CGAUACGACCGUACCGCAAACCGACACUGGUGCGCGAGAUGAGUAUUCUAAGGCGCUUGAGAGAACUCAGGAGAAGGAACUCGGCAAAUUGACACCGUAACUUCGGAAGAAGGUGUGCCCUAUUAGUGUGUAGUGAACAACGAAGCAUGAAUGGGUUGCAAAAAAUCGGUGGCUGCGACUGUUUAUUAAAAACACAGCACUCUGCAAACACGAAAGUGGACGUAUAGGGUGUGACGCCUGCCCGGUGCUGGAAGAUUAAAUGAGGGGGUGCAAGCUCUUGAUUGAAGUCCCAGUAAACGGCGGCCGUAACUAUAACGGUCCUAAGGUAGCGAAAUUCCUUGUCGGGUAAGUUCCGACCUGCACGAAUGGCGUAACGAUGGCCACACUGUCUCCUCCUGAGACUCAGCGAAGUUGAAAUGUUUGUGAUGAUGCAAUCUCCCCGCGGAAAGACGGAAAGACCCCAUGAACCUUUACUGUAGCUUUGUAUUGGACUUUGAACAGAUCUGUGUAGGAUAGGUGGGAGGCUUUGAAGCAGGGUCGCUAGAUCUCGUGGAGCCAACGUUGAAAUACCACCCUGGUGUGUUUGAGGUUCUAACCUAGGUCCAUUAUCUGGAUCGGGGACAGUGCACGGUAGGCAGUUUGACUGGGGCGGUCUCCUCCCAAAGCGUAACGGAGGAGUUCGAAGGUACGCUAGUUACGGUCGGACAUCGUGACGAUAGUGCAAUGGCAUAAGCGUGCUUAACUGCGAGACUGACAAGUCGAGCAGAUGCGAAAGCAGGACAUAGUGAUCCGGUGGUUCUGUAUGGAAGGGCCAUCGCUCAACGGAUAAAAGGUACUCUGGGGAUAACAGGCUGAUACCGCCCAAGAGUUCAUAUCGACGGCGGUGUUUGGCACCUCGAUGUCGGCUCAUCUCAUCCUGGGGCUGUAGCCGGUCCCAAGGGUAUGGCUGUUCGCCAUUUAAAGAGGUACGUGAGCUGGGUUUAAAACGUCGUGAGACAGUUUGGUCCCUAUCUUCCGUGGGCGCUGCAGAUUUGAGGAAGCCUGCUCCUAGUACGAGAGGACCGGAGUGGACACACCUCUGGUGUAUCGGUUGUCACGCCAGUGGCAUCGCCGAGUAGCUAAGUGUGGAAGAGAUAACCGCUGAAAGCAUCUAAGCGGGAAACUCGUUUCAAGAUGAGAUCUGCCGGGGCCUUGAGCCCCCUAAAGAGUCGUUCAAGACCAGGACGUUGAUAGGUCAGGUGUGGAAGCGG